rnacentral:misc_RNA from 1 species
GGAAGGAUCAUUAACAAAUUCCAAAACUUGUGUUUGACUGGUGUCUAUUGCCAUCGUUGUCUCAUCGUGUGUAUGUAUGUAUGUAUGUAUGUAUGUAUGUAUGUACGUAUGAUGAUGAUGGUGAUGGGUACCAGUCAGUACCAAAACACACAACAUACAUACACUUGACACAACAUGACACAUACAUUUCGAGAGAGAGAGAGAGAUAUGUGUAUCAUUCUAUCUAAUGACAGAAUUUUACCAUUCGAUCAAUCCAUAUACAACUUUUAACAAUGGAUCUCUCGGCUCUUGCAACGAUGAAGAACGCAGCGAACUGCGAAACGUGAUGUGAACUGCAAUCUUCGUGAAUCAUCCAAUCUUUGAACGCAAUUUGCACCUUGUGGCUCAUGUCACAAGGUAUACUUGUUUGAGUAUCUGAAACAACCUCACCAACCCUUUGGGGUGAAGUGGUGGAGCUGAGAGUUCAAUUAUUUUGUUACUUGCCUGCCUGCCUGCCUGCCUGCCUGCCUGCUACGGAAACGUAGUGAGUGGUACGGUGGUACGGUACGGGUACCAUCAUGCCAAUUGUCUCUUAAAUGUACAAAGGUCAAACUUUAAAAAAGAAGGGGGUCUCCGUUUGGAACCUGACUCGGACCAUUGGGAUAACAUCCUAACGAUCGUCUGUCGGUUCUUUCAUAAGCGUUGACUUUUUUAGACCUUUUUCGGAUAAAUAGUGUGUUUGGUAGCCCCUCUUAAACAAGGCUCUGUGCUAAUUAUCCAACGUACGUAUAUAUAUCUCUUUACGGAGGGGGUAUGUACAGUUAGUAUCAUAGAUCUCAAAUCAAGUAAGGAUACCCGCUGAACUUAAGCAUAUCAGUAAGCGGAGGAAAAGAAACUAACAAGGAUUCCCUGAGUAACGGCGAGUGAAACGGGAAGAGCUCAAAUUUAAAAUCUGGUACCCUUAAAUGGGUAUCCGAAUUGUAAUUGAGAGGGUCUUCUUUUGAUGAAGGUGAUGGCCAAAGUUCUCUGGAAAGGGGCAACAAAGAGGGUGACAUUCCCGUCUGGGUCAUUACACAGAGUCAGUAUAAAGGAGGCUCUAAGAGUCGGAUUGUUUGGGAAUGCAGUCCAAAAUGGGUGGUACAUUUAAUCUAAAGCUAAAUAUAGGCAAGAGACCGAUAGCGAACAAGUACCGUGAGGGAAAGAUGAAAAGAACUUUGAAAAGAGAGUUAAAUAGUACGUGAAAUUGUUAAAAGGGAAACGAUUGAGACCAGUGAUGUGUGACAGUUCUAAAGCAUUUCUCUUGGGAAAUGUGUGUAUAUGAGCUGUUCACGAGUCGACGCUCCUUUUGUGCCUUGGAAAAGACGGUAGGAAAGAUGGCUCCAUCUUUGGAUGGCUGCUUUAUAGUCCUAUCGGGAUACAAGGUGUGGGAGGAGACAGGUGGGCUUACUUGUAAGUCACGUCGACGAAAUGGUCUUAAACGACCCGUCUUGAAACACGGACCAAGGAGUCUAACAACUAUGCGAGUAUUUGAGUGGUAAACUCGAAUGCGCAAAGAAAUUGAACGCGUGGGACUUGUCUUUUCAAGUGGAAGGCAAUGCACCAUGGGCCGGUCCUUGUCUUUGACUUGGAUUGCGCUAGAGCAUAUCUGUUGGGACCCGAAAGAUGGUGAACUAUGCCUGAAUAGGGUGAAGCCAGGGGAAACUCUGGUGGAGGCUCGUAGACAUUCUGACGUGCAAAUCGAUGUUCAAAUUUGGGUAUAGGGGCGAAAGACUAAUCGAACCAUCUAGUAGCUGGUUCCCUC